AAAAAAGCAAAGAAGAAGUAAGCAACUCCCCCUCCUCCCAUAUCCUAGGAAGUACAGAGAAAACUAUUCUAUAUGGGUUGAGCCCCUAUUAUGGGGCAGGUCCUAUUUGGGGCAUUGAAUUCAUCUGUCUUUAUUGCUCUAAUAGGGACACUAUCACUCCCAUUUUACUGAUGAGGAAAUGGAGGCUCAGAGGAACACAUAAGCUGUUUAUGGACUUACAGCUGCUACAGCUUACAGCUGGUAAGCACCAGAGCCAGGAUUCAGCCCAGCUCUGGCUUAAUCCAAAGCCAGUGCUUCUCCAUGAUAUCAUCCAUGCUGCCUCCAGAAAUCAGAGCAGAAUUAGGGGCCACCUUGGUUUUAUUUUCUUUCUCUGAUAAAAGUGAAGUAGGGCACAAGACCCUGCCCAGUUCUUUUCCUACAGGCCUUUGAACAUUCCCCAGCAAAGUGAGAAGGGAAAGCUCAGGGCUACCUCCAGUGCUAGCGCAGAGGGCGGGAGUAUCAGCUGGCUGGCUGGAGCUGGCCAAGCCCCUCCUCUCCUCCUCCUGCUUCCCCCUCCAUCCAGGCUCCACCGGGAACCUGUCCCAGACGCCUACCCCGCCUGAGCCAGAGGAAGGGAGGAAAACAAUAGCAAAAACCAGGACCCUUCGGACUUGCCGCUGAAUGGGGAUUUUCGUCGGAUGUUGAGUUUACCUGGAAUGCCCCGGUGUUAUUUUGGGAAGGCAGACAUCCCACGGAAACAAUGAAGUGGAAAAGAAAACAGCUAAAGCAAAAUCUAGAGCCCAGUUUUUGCCAAACCAGCCCCACGUGGGCUGGGCAGGCUCUGGAAGCCCAAGUCAGGCCGAUGAAGAGCGGCUGAGGCCGUGGGGAUCUGGUUUACCAGGAGGGCACAUGGAGGAUGCAAGAAAAGGAAGAGCCGUAUUCAAGUCCCCACUUCAGUGAUGAGGCAGAAAGACCCUGCGCCUGACCACGUGGGAACAGCCUGCAGUGAGCGGUGACGCCGCCUGGCUUGAGCUAAGUGCUGGGCUCCACCAUUCAUUGGCUGAGUGACCUUAGAUGAGAAGAGAAUGAGCCAUGUGUUUCCUGAAACAUCCAGUGGCCUCACCGGAGAAUCUGCAAGAGCCGGUAAACCCAGAAGCUUGGCCGUCCAUUCCUGGAAGCAGACAUUGUGUCUUCGUCCACCAAGCCCCUGGCUCUCAACACUCACUGUGGUGGCAAGAACAUGGCACCUUGACCCUACACAGUUCUUCCAUUUUUCAGAAGCAGCUCCAGACCCUUGUCCCCAGGUUUUGACCCCACCCAGACCUUUGCCUGGGACGGAAAGCUGCUUCAUUUCAGGAGACACCUGAAGUACCUGGGUUGGUUCAGAGACUACCAGAAGUUUUUGGACUUCUUCUAGUCCUUUAAUGGCCAAAAGGACUCAAGGGCCUGGCAUGUAAUGGAAAAGGCAUCACCUCUCUCAUGGAACGCAGCUGGAAGGACCAACCCCUUCAUAGUUACAGGAAUCUGAGCUAUGAAGACACUAGCCAGGCAACAAGGCCCUGGGCUCAGACACAGAUGAAGUUUCUCUGGAAGAGAAAUCUGGCCUGUUACAGACCUGGGAAGUGCCAAGGCUUAGCUCCUGAGAAGGAUUGCUGGUGCUGACAGCUGGGAGUCAGGACUCCAGGGCCACUUGUAUGGAAGCUGGUGCCCGUGGUGCAGGAGGAUGGGGGCUCUGGAUUCUGCACCACCCCCCAUAGACUGGCCCCUCAGAGGGCUCCUGUGGUGUCAGAGCCCUCUCACAAGCGCCUGCCGUGGUUAUCAGCUGAAGCUGAGUGCUUGUGGAGUGUGGACAGAGGGCAGAGGGAGAGAAGCAGCCAUGGGCUUCCUGCCAGGAAGCUCAGCAGCUCCGAGGAGACUGGAGAGUCAUGGGACACAGUGCGUCCUCCCCAGAACAGCCUCCAGCCUGCCAGUUCAGAGCACACGCUUGGAGGCAGGAAGGCUGAGGUCCAACCCCAUUCCUGCUAUGGGCCAGCUGAGAGCUGUGGACAAGUCAUUCGGCUUCUCUGAGCCGCAGUCUUCUCACCUGUAAAGCGGGGGUAAUAAUACCCUCCUCACAAGGUUGUUGCAAGGCUUUGUGGGGAAAAAUACAAAGUGCACAGAGUUGUUCAGUAAGGCGUGGGCCUGCGGGGAAAGGCGGGGCCAUGAGCUGGCCAGGGGAGGAAAGGACAGAUGGGGACUCCAGAUAAUGAAAGCAUCUUUGCAUCCUCAAUGAUAUAAUCUGGGUUUGUUGUUGUUGUUGUUGUUUGAGACAGAGUCUCGCUCUGUCCCCCAGGCUGGAGUGCAGUGGUGCAAUUUCAGCUCACUGCAACCUGUACUUCCCGGGUUCAAGUGAUUCUCCUGCCUCAGCUUCCUGAGUAGCUGGGAUUACAGGUGCCCGCCACCAUGCCUGGCUAAUUUUUCUGUUUUUAAUAGAGACAGGGUUUCGCCAUGUUGGCCAGGAUGGCCUCGAGCUCCUGACCUCAGCUGAUCCACCCUCCUCAGCCUCCCAAAGUGCUGCGAUUACAGGCAUGAGCCACCGCGCCCGGCCCAUCUGGAGUUUUUUUGUUUGUUUGUUCCUCAUAAAGGCUACGAGGAGAGGAAGGGGCCUAGAACACAGGAUGGUGGAAGAGGGGCUCAUGGGUGGAGGGGAGGAGAGCAGAUGAGCAGGGACCCUCCCCCUUCCUCGGCAACCAUGGGGUUUGCCACACAUAUAUUUUUGAUGUCCCAUGUAUCAGGUGGAGAUGUCAACUUCUAUGAACUGAAAUAAACUGUUUCCCUAUGUGUAAAAUGAAGGGCACUUCAAGUCUGUCCAAGUACAACCAGGUGUCUCUAGAUACCCCGAGCCUGAGAAAUCACCCGUGUAGAUGCACACAGGCAUACACUCACACAUAUGCACAAUCACAUACACUCACAUUUUGUUACCUGGGUUCAAAUUAGACUAGCUGAUAGUUGAGGAUAGCCAUGGGUUCCAAGCUUAGGCACAUCUUUGCUGUGGCUGUUAGGCCUCACCCAGGUUGAGAGAAGGACUAAGACCCAGGUCUACUUGCUUGUCUGGUCUCUCUAUAUUAUCCUAGUAGCAAGUUAGAGAAUUGCGCCAGGGAGAAUGCAGCAGAAAAGAGGAGGAUAUGGAAUCAUCCUAGGGCAAGCCAGGAGGCAGGGGUACAAGGGCCUUAGCUUUCCUGUACCCCCAGAUACAGCCCAGAGUGAAUAAAAAGCUGAACUCAGCCCAGGAAGGUCCUGGAAGACCUGCCAGUGCCUGAGUCACACAGUGAUGCCUGGGCUGAAACCAGGGGGAGUCAGGGAGUAACAUUUAC
rnacentral:lncRNA from 1 species